rnacentral:rRNA from 1 species
UACGUAGGGGGCAAGCGUUGUCCGGAAUUAUUGGGCGUAAAGAGCGUGUAGGCGGUCCGGUAAGUCAGCUGUGAAAGUCCAGGGCUCAACCCUGGGAUGCCGGUGGAUACUGUCGAGCUCGAGUCCGGAAGAGGCGAGUGGAAUUCCUGGUGUAGCGGUGAAAUGCGCAGAUAUCAGGAGGAACACCAAUGGCGAAGGCAGCUCGCUGGGACGUGACUGACGCUGAGACGCGAAAGCGUGGGGAGCAAACAGG